GAUGAACGCUGGCGGCGUGCCUAAUACAUGCAAGUCGAGCGAACGGACGAGAAGCUUGCUUCUCUGAUGUUAGCGGCGGACGGGUGAGUAACACGUGGAUAACCUACCUAUAAGACUGGGAUAACUUCGGGAAACCGUAGCUAAUACCGGAUAAUAUUUUGAACCGCAUGGUUCAAAAGUGAAAGACGGUCUUGCUGUCACUUAUAGAUGGAUCCGCGCUGCAUUAGCUAGUUGGUAAGGUAACGGCUUACCAAGGCAACGAUGCAUAGCCGACCUGAGAGGGUGAUCGGCCACACUGGAACUGAGACACGGUCCAGACUCCUACGGGAGGCAGCAGUAGGGAAUCUUCCGCAAUGGGCGAAAGCCUGACGGAGCAACGCCGCGUGAGUGAUGAAGGUCUUCGGAUCGUGAAACUCUGUUAUUAGGGAAGAACAUAUGUGUAAGUAACUGUGCACAUCUUGACGGUACCUAAUCAGAAAGCCACGGCUAACUACGUG
rnacentral:rRNA from 1 species